rnacentral:rRNA from 1 species
AGUGAACGCUGGCGGUAGGCCUAACACAUGCAAGUCGAACGGCAGCACAGUAAGAGCUUGCUCUUACGGGUGGCGAGUGGCGGACGGGUGAGGAAUACAUCGGAAUCUACUUUUUCGUGGGGGAUAACGUAGGGAAACUUACGCUAAUACCGCAUACGACCUACGGGUGAAAGCAGGGGAUCUUCGGACCUUGCGCGAUUGAAUGAGCCGAUGUCGGAUUAGCUAGUUGGCGGGGUAAAGGCCCACCAAGGCGACGAUCCGUAGCUGGUCUGAGAGGAUGAUCAGCCACACUGGAACUGUGACACGGUCCAGACUCCUACGGGAGGCAGCAGUGGGGAAUAUUGGACAAUGGGCGCAAGCCUGAUCCAGCCAUACCGCGUGGGUGAAGAAGGCCUUCGGGUUGUAAAGCCCUUUUGUUGGGUAAGAAAAGCAGCAGGUUAAUACCCCGCUGUUCUGACGGUACCCAAAGAAUAAGCACCGGCUAACUUCGUG